UCUACGGGAAGUGACGUCACGCCGACCUUCCCAAGUAUAUGGCAAUUCCUGCUUAACUACGGAGAUUCCGAUGAAAAAUUCCGGUUUAAAUCGUUCAAGUAGAUUAGACUAUAUAUGAACGAAACCAAAAAUUGAGAUCCUGGUCCUGGCUGAAAUUUAGAGUAUUGUAGCUGUAGCCUGUAUACCAUACAUUCAACAUGAAAAGGACUGUCAGGAUACUCAUACUGCAUAAAAUGGUCUAUAGCUAUCGCCUAGAAUGAUAAUUUCUUGCAUGGGAAUAUGCUGAAAGUAACUGACGGGGAGCAUGCAGUUUUUCUUACCAAUCAUAGAAGCAGUAAGAGACAGCCAAAAAAGUACUCAAACACUUGACAUACACAGAUUGUAGCUUAAUUGUUAAAACUAUUAAAGUGAAUUUAAGCUGCACUUGAACUGUAUUUUUGAAAUAAAACAUCUGAAGUAUUUAA